CUACGGGCGGCUGCAGUAGGGAAUUUUCGGCAAUGGGCGAAAGCCUGACCGAGCAAUGCCGCGUGAACGAUGAAGGCCUUCGGGUUGUAAAGUUCUGUUAUCAGGGAAGAACAUACGGAUUAGGAAAUGACUCCGUACUGACGGUACCUGAUCAGAAAGCUCCGGCUAACUACGUGCCAGCAGCCGCGGUAAUACGUAGGGAGCAAGCGUUAUCCGGAAUUAUUGGGCGUAAAGCGUGCGUAGGCGGUUCGUUAAGUCAAAUCUGAAAGCCCACAGCUUAACUGUGGAGGGCGAUUUGAAACUGGCGAACUUGAGUACGGCAGAGGUUAGUGGAAUUCAAUGUGUAGCGGUGGAAUGCGUAGAUAUAUUGAGGAACACCAGUGGCGAAGGCGGCUAACUGGACCGGAACUGACGCUGAGGCACGAAAGCGUGGGGAGCAAACAGGAUUAGAUACCCGUGUAGUC
rnacentral:rRNA from 1 species